UACGUAGGGGGCAAGCGUUGUCCGGAAUUAUUGGGCGUAAAGAGCUCGUAGGCGGUCUGUCGCGUCGGCUGUGAAAACUCGGGGCUCAACCCCGAGCCUGCAGUCGAUACGGGCAGACUAGAGUUCGGUAGGGGAGACUGGAAUUCCUGGUGUAGCGGUGAAAUGCGCAGAUAUCAGGAGGAACACCGGUGGCGAAGGCGGGUCUCUGGGCCGAAACUGACGCUGAGGAGCGAAAGCGUGGGGAGCGAACAGG
rnacentral:rRNA from 1 species